GGCCUGUAUACGGCGAACUCACAAAGGGAAGUGUAUGAUGCCUGAGUUUUACCUGCCUCUUCCUGCUGCUCCAACCUGCUUGUCCCCGCGGCCCUGGGAGAUUAAUGCGCCUGGUUGUUGACACCUGUUACGUCGCUUCCAGAACGUGAGUGCUGAGGAAUUAAAUCACAGAGUGGCUUUGUUCUUGCAUAAUCUCCCUGAGUUGAAGGCUGCGGGGCUGGCGGCAGGACAAACACUAUUCCCGGUCAUCAAGGGUCAGCAUGGACCUGAGCCGCGCGAUUGCGAGAGCAGCGUGGCGUGCUGGCCGUGGGCAGGACGAGAUCACCGGCCUGGUCGACAUCACGGGCCUGGUUUGCACGCCAUACACGCCUCUCCAUCCCGUGUGAACCAAAGAUCAGAAGGAGGGUUGAUGUGUCGCGCUCGUCUACAGGAAUGCGCUAUACGCCAGGCAUGUAUGAAUUUCUGAGGAGCGGAUAAAUAUCUAAUGUGACCUGGAAGAUGGAGAGACAGGUGUGUUUAAUCUUGCAUCCCACGGCGCCCGGCCAAUCCCGUGCACUAACAAGUAUUUUUAAUUCUAUUUUUCGACAUUCGCAACCCGGCCCAUGACCUUUACUUCUGACCCGUUGUAUUGUUGCGAAAAUAUUGAAGUAUUG